rnacentral:rRNA from 1 species
CGGCUUGCGCGUCCCGCCGGCGACCGGCGCACGGGUGAGUAACACGUAUGCAACCUGCCCCCGCCAGGGGUACAACCCUCCGAAAGGGGGGGCUGAUACCGCGUACAUCCCCUGGGGGCAUCCCCGGGGGAGGAAAGCCCUUUUGGGCGGGCGGGGAUGGGCAUGCGGCGCAUUAGGAAGACGGCGGUGUGACGGACCACCGUUCCGACGAUGCGUAGGGGUUCUGAGAGGAAGGCCCCCCACACUGGUACUGAGACACGGACCAGACUCCUACGGGAGGCAGCAG